rnacentral:ncRNA from 1 species
AUUUAAUCAUUUACCCAAUUUAAGGAGGACAUCAUGCCAUUACUACUACAACUUUAAAUCUUGGCACGAUGUCAGCUCACGGACAAGUGUCAUAUCAACUUGUCCGAGUGCUUUAAAGACCUAGCAUUCGCUAGGUCUUUUUUAUUUGGACAAA